UCCAGUUUAUGUUACUCUAUUUAUGUUAAAAAAGUAUUAUUUCUGUGCCUCCAUUUGAAGUAGGAAUGGACAUGGUAGAUUCCAUGAAUUUCCAACAACUAAAGGAAGUAGAACCUGAAGGGUUGCUGAGAAAUUCUGCACAAAGGACUUGAUCCCAAACAACAAAGUAGCUUGUGAAGAUGAAUGGCUUUCUGCAAAGACAACUCAGACUUAGCUCUUCUGGCAUCAUUCUGCUCUUCCAUAGAGAGACAGUGCUUCCUCCACCUGAAAAACAAAUGGACUCUGCAUCUCCCAGGAAAUGCAAGGCCAUGAACUCCAGUCCCGCUGCCCAUGGCACCUGCAUACAGGGGAACCACCGUGCUUUUGGCACUGUGAGCCUGCUGCUUGAGCUGAUGGAGAGGCACGUGGGAACACGCCAAGUGCGCUUCCUGGAAGGGUAAUGCAGCAAAAGAUCUCGCUUGCUGCAAGAACCUAUUUAGCUGGGGCACGGUCCAGCCUUUACUGCAGUCAACAGAAGUCGUUCGUGUGUGAGACAGAUGGCUGUGGGAGAGCUGAAAGAGGUCUCGGGCCAGACGGGCCCCAGGGCGCUGAGCCCCAGCUCCGAAACAGAGCCCUGGGAGGACUGCAGCCCCCGCCUGUUUUCGGCACCACCCACGGCACCACCAAGACGCAUGCAGCGACCAUCAGCCGCCCUCGCCCCUUGCCGUCCUGCCCACGCUGCAGCAGAACACGGAGCCAGGACGAGGCCCGGGGGUACCCGGCCCUAGCAACCCCGGCACCGGCGACGCCCC